CGAGAAACCUUUAGCAAUGUGCGCAAGACACGACAAGGUUAAUCCGAGUGAUUCCUGCUAAAGGAAUCUUUUGUUAGUUGUAAACCACUGUUGAAUAAGGGUGGGCAAGUUCUGGUGUCAGCCGCCGCGGUAAAACCAGCACCUCAAGUUGUCAGGAUGAUUAUUGGGCCUAAAAGCAUCCGUAGCCGGCUCUGUUAGUUUUCGGUUAAAUCUGUACGCUUAACGUACAGGCUGCCGGGAAUACUGCAGAGCUAGGGAGUGGGAGAGGUAGACGGUACUCGGUAGGAAGGGGUAAAUACCUUUGAUCUAUUGAUGACCACCUGUGGCGAAGGCGGUCUACCAGAACACGUCCGACGGUGAGGGAUGAAAGCUGGGGAGGCAAACCGGAUUAGAUACCCGGGUAGUCCCAGCUGUAACUAUGCAAACUCAGUGAUGCAUUGGCUUGUGGCCAAUGCAGUGCUGC
rnacentral:rRNA from 1 species